rnacentral:misc_RNA from 1 species
AAUGCAGACCACUGUUCCCAUUGAAAUGGCAUAAAAACUUCUGUAUAUAAAGUCUGCUGCUAGAUUUAGGAAUUGCCUAGAACUCAGACUUUCAUCUAAAUCAUGCAUUCUAGGAUUGCUAAAUAUGCAAUUGAACAUUUGAAUCUCAUUCAAGUCACUGUAAGAAAUCAAGGAUGAUAGCUUGACAUAACACCUACAAAAUUUGAAUCGAUUAAGAGUGAGUGAGGUCAGAAAUAUACCUCCUGCUUAUAGAUUGGGAACCAAAGUUUAGAUUGACAUUUUUAGCUUGCUGUCCUUAUUUUUCCUUAUUUUUCUGCUUUGUUUUCUCUUCUAUUCAAGGUUUUUUGGAUCCUCCAAUGAAGUUUUCCAACUGUAUCUAAUUGUUUCACUUUACUUUUGCUUCAUUUACCAUUUGGGUUUCAUAAUUGCUGUAG